rnacentral:lncRNA from 1 species
AUCACAUGGAUCAGAGUCUGGCUGGACCACGGGAUCCCAUAAAAUCGGCUAUUAAAUCGCAAAAGGGGGCAAAAAACAAUAGCAAUAUUCUGGAUGAACUGCCAAGGUGUCUCUCAUGUGCAUUCUUGUGGGUAUAUUCCUUCCCUCUUCUACUAGUUUUCGUCCAAACUGUUCCAUCCAUCUGCAUCUUUCUUCAGAUCAGUUCACAAUAUACUUGUACUACCUCAUUGGCACAGGCACAUUCUUGUGGGAGAAAUUUUGGAUAGAGAAAUGGAGAUGAUGCUCCUGAUGCUGGGAAAGAACAUCACAUGCUUGCAUGCUCCUCGACGUGAUGAGCAACAUGUAAGUAUAUGUUAGUACUGCAGUAGUGCCCUUGCAGCAUCGAUCACCAACCAAUCUGUCGCCUGCAUGGCAGAAUCUGAUUGUCUGUUCCUCACAAACAUGUCAUAUUCUGAUGCCUCCUAGCAAUCUGAAUUACUACCAUAUUAAAAUUUUCACCCCUCCUGAUGGUGUUUUCACCUUCUGUUCUGACACAUAUGUUAAGAUUUCAAGUUGUUCAGGGAAACACUUGUGAUAUGUAUAUCCACCCAUCCCACCAGGGUUCAAGUCCUGUUGCCCAUGAAUAUUACAGACAUACUAGUGGGCAUUCAAUAGAAUUUAGUAAGAUCAGGGAUGUGUUGUGGAUUCCCGUCUCUUUGAGCAUGUGUUAGAUGGCGCAUCUGUCAUUGUGUGAGUGUGGUGUUACGUGUGUAGUGUUGUGCAUGCAUUUACAUCUGUCGUGUAAUCGCAAAAAGAUUUCAGGUUGUUCAGGUGUGUAUGUGUUCAGUGUAUCUCUGAAUUGAUCUGUGCUGUUGCUGCAUAUGCUGAAGCUGACACACAUAUGUUCAGUUUCAGAGUUCAGUCUGUUUCGAGUGUUCAAUGUAUCUCUGAACUGAUCACUGUUGAUGCU